AACAUUGUAAAUCCACUGAGAAGUACAGUGAGAAAAUACACUGUAAAUCCAAGUAGAAUUACAGUACAAAUCCACUAAGGAUCCACUAAGAAUAACACUGUAAUUACACUGUAAAAAAACCACUAAAAUACACUAAGAAUUACACUGUAAAUCCAAUUAGGAUUACAGUGUAAAAUCCACUAAGAAAAGGUAAUUCCUAAAAAUUCUGAAUUAGAUUUCAUGAAUGUACAUGCACAUAUUGAAUGGAUUUUCCUGAAAAUAUAUACCAAAAUGGUUUGGCAUUAGAUUAACUGAAUGGAAUUGCACGGAGGAGCAUACACAUUUACAAAACUACUUCGCUGUAAGUAACACUAAAAAAUACUGGAAAUAGCAGUACAAAUCAUUGCAAGUUACACGGCAAAUAUUACUAUAAGUUACACUAAAAUACUGGAAAAUUUAGAGAAAAUCACGGUAAGUUGCACAUUACUGAAAUUGCAAUGAAAAUACAUUGAAAUUACAGUGUAAUUAUACACUUUAGUUGCUCAAGGUGGUGGUCGUGAUUAUUAGUAAUACCAUGGCAGUGGCAGUGCUAGUUCAUUCACCAGAAAUAUGCUAGAAACAAUAAAGAAUGAGUAGAGCAGAAGGUAGGUGAUAGACUAAAGGGAAUCACAACCCAAUCCCAAUCCCAAUGUGCAGCAGACUAGAUUAGAUUGGAGAAGGAAUAGAGGGAAAACAGUAGACUAGUUUGGUUGCUAGGUAGAUGAUGUUGAGCGAGGAAACAAGUCGUUCAAGCAAAGCAAAGGGAUCUGAACUGAAACAAAGAGCAUCACAUCCGAUAGGGACAUCGACAGGGUCAUUGACAUGGACAGGGAUCUGAACUGAAACAAACAGCACGUUCAAGUGCAUGACACCUAGCCGAAUUCAACCACACAGUCUAGACAGUCCCGAACCACUUUAACUUAACUGGAAAAAAAAUCAGUUCACGAACGAGAAUGACACAUUAAACUAGAAAUUUGUCCACCAAAAAACAUCAACAUGAGACUCAAUUGACCAGGUGACUCGGCAUUUGCAUUCAAAAUAACGAAGGGUUGUACGUCUACAAAAGCUAGCAGAGGAUAAAAGGGGGCAUACAAACUUAUAGUCCAGAGUUAAUUCACAAUACAAUUCAGACUGUAGUUACACUGAUACUCAGUGUAAUAGGUGCUGGAAAAAGAGUGGGAAAUUUAGAGUAGAUCACUAAAACUUAAACAUUACUGAAGUUACAAAGCCAGAGAAAAAAGCACUCGAAAGUUACAGAGUAGAUCACUGAAACUUACACAUUACAGAAGUUACAAAGCCAGACACAAAAGCACUCGAAAAUUACAGAGUAGAUCACUGAAACUUACACAUUACUGAAUUUACAAAGCCAGACACAAAAGCACUCAAAAAUUACAGAGUAAGAUGGACUAAUAAAACCUGAAACUACAGUCCAAAAUCACUGACGCUUAACUGAUAAAAUUCAGUCCCGAUCACUCCAAAUCUGCUCAAAGUUAUAAUCCAACUCACUGACAAAAACAACCGGCAUCAUACACAUAUACAGUAAACAUCUAGGAGCUAGAUUCAACAUUUACAUCCACACAUCUAGGGGCUGUGCACAUAUAGGGGCACAUGAACAACUACAGAGACAUUCGGGAGCAGAAAUCAAAAAUAGACAUGAGGGAACCACCCCUACAACUACAUCAAACCAGGCGUUGUUGCAUCUACAUCUACUAGAUGUUGCUCCAUCUGCAGCAAAAUCGGACAUCUAGGAACCACCACAAACAACCUAAAAGAGUUGGGAUCCACCACUACACAUGGGAACAAACACACCACUAAGCCAGAUCUAGCAAAGUCCUACAGAAAUUGCAGCGAAAUGAAGACAUGGGGAAAGGAUACUGGCAAACCAACCUCGUUGCGUGAAGAAGGGAGGCACAGGGGUCGAAACACCACAGCAAAAGGAGGGGCGGGACGAAAUCAACAGAAGCAGAUAAGACACCGCUGCCGAAUCACCAUGCAUCGACCUCUCCUCUGCCUCAACACACUUCAAGGAGAAGCAACAGGGGAUGGGGGAGGGGGAGGGGGAGGGGGACCGGGCGCCUAACCACUGGCUCGCUCUCCAGAGAUCAGCGACAAAGCUAACCUACCAAAAUCGCCAUGGCUCUCUCCUCUCUGCCUCCAAGAUCUUGCCGCUCCAAAUGGGAAAGGAAAACAGACAAAGUCAGCGGAGAAGAUAAAAGGAAAUUCGAAAAUAAAAGAAAAAACCGGCUAGUACACGGACCCGCCA
rnacentral:lncRNA from 1 species